rnacentral:pre_miRNA from 1 species
AGCUCAUUCGGACCGUCGGUCUACCGAGCAAUAUCACCCGCUCGCCCGAAGAUCUUCCCUUUGUCGU